rnacentral:rRNA from 1 species
UACAGAGGGUGCGGGCGUUAAUCGGAAUUACUGGGCGUAAAGCGCACGUAGGCGGCUUGGUAUGUCGGGUGUGAAAUCCCCGGGCUCAACCUGGGAACUGCAUCCGAAACUGCCUUGCUCGAGUAUGGGAGAGGGAAGUGGAAUUUCCGGUGUAGCGGUGAAAUGCGUAGAUAUCGGAAGGAACAUCAGUGGCGAAGGCGACUUCCUGGACCAAUACUGACGCUCAGGUGCGAAAGCGUGGGGAGCAAACAGG